AACAACAUACACGAAAUAGGAUAGUAAAUACUAACAUAUCCUCAACUUGAAACAGUAAAGCGUCAAUCCAAACCAGCAGAGUGAUAUUAUGACUUAAACAUAAUAGAAAUGAAUACAUGCUCCUCUCAACAGUAAUGAAUACAAAGGCUGCCUUACACAUUGAUCAACAAAUGAACUAGCUAUUCAGCCUUGCAAACAUAUAUAACUUCCGGAUCUUAACCAGCAUUUAUCAUGACCUUUCAUACACUUUUAGCAACCAGCAUAAUGAAUUACAAAUUGUUACUAACACAUCAUUCCUUAUUCAAAACAGAACCGUAGGAGACAUAGGAAAAUUAAAUUGAAUCAGAUGACUUUUAAAAAUGCAGAAACAUCAAGCAUACGAUUAUAUUAUUACAAACAUCAACUUGAGUACACCAAACUUCAUGUCCAUCUCCUUUUCACACAUUAGAAGGUGAGAUGAAUACCUGGAAAUGAGAGUAAAGAGGGGGUAAGGUGCAGCAGUAGCAUCAACAGGACUCAGCAUUAAAAAUAAACCAAAGGAAACCAGUUUUUUUUUUAGCCAAAUUCAGCCCAGUAGAAGGAUCAACUGAUACUUAAUAAUCAAAAACAGUCAGAACUUGAACCAAACACUUGAAAAUCAGCACAUUCAAAUCAUUUCAACCUAUGAUUAUUCAGGAAUUGUUUCACAAAUGAAAAGCCUCAAAAUCUCGGAAAUUUUAAUGGAACAGUUAGUAUAUAUUUUUUCAGUAUUUCAGAAUCUCUCCUCUCUCUCUCUCUCUCUCUUUUGUAUCCUUUUUCUAUAUCCUUCUUCUGAUUUUCAGCUCCCUUAAAUGGGCAUUCAAUUAGUGCAUUUUCCACUACAACUUAUCUUCUCCAUUUUAAAUUAUCCACUCAAAUUAGUGCUUUUAGUUAAUUCAAUAAUGUAAAUACUACCCUACCACUAUUAGAAGCUUCUCAAUUAGUGACCACUUGCAUAAAACUUAUAAUAGUCAAUUCUUAUUAAUACAAUGUUAAACAAGAAAUUAUACCAAACUAGUGAACUAAAAUUAUUCUGACUAAGUGAUUAAACGAGAUACGAUUUCAAAGUUUUCUGAUAUACCAAUUAUACGAAACAAAUCUACAAAACCAAUCUUAAAGAAACAAACAGUGAACAGAAUAAUCUAUAUCAGAAUACUGAUCGAAUUUCAAUUGAAAUUGACCAGGAAAAGAAAAAGAGAUGAGGAAGACGAAUAUCAGAAUAACACUAAUGUAAAUAAACAAAGACUAAGAAAGAACUCACCGGACAGGCUAGAACUUGGAUUUGGCUUUGAUACUCUGACUCACCCCAAACUGAUGCUAAUCAUUUGUUCUUUAUCAAGAACAAAUGAACAACAUCGGUUUUGUAGUGAAUCGAUCUUCUAAUCACAAAAACUAGAGGCUUGGAUCGAUGCAUGUCAUCAGGCUCAACGGAAACUGAUUUUGAACUUUUAAGGUUUGAACUUAGAUUUAAAAUUCGACGAGUUCCGGUCAGAUUCGAAGGAAACCAAUGAUGGAUUUGGUAUGAGGGAGUUAUGGGGGUUGUGUGGUGUUAAUUUGGGGUCGAUUGGGUAGCUAGGGUUCGGGGAUUUUGGGACCGGACAGCCUCGAUUGAAGAUUCGAGAAGUACUAGGGUGAUUCGAGGGAAACCGAUCGGGGAUUUGGAAAGAGGGGGUUGGGGUGGUUCUGGGGUAUGAUUUUGGAGGUGAACGGAGCCGGCGCCGCCACCGGAAGGCGGUGGGGAAUGGUGGCGGCUGGUCUCUAGGGUUUGGGUGAGGAAGAUGAGCGAUGAGCUGGGGGGGGG
rnacentral:lncRNA from 1 species